AAUAAGUUCAUUUUUAGUUUUUAUAUAAUUUUGACUCUUCGUUUUAUUUAAUUUUUUUACGAUUAAUAUUUAUUGUUACUAGAUGAUAAAACAUAAAUAAUAUUUUAUGCGUAACUAAUUUUUUUAAAAGUUUUUUAACAAAAAUUUUAAAUAAAACGAGUGGUCAAGCUUAUGGACACGGAAAUCGAAAAUUAAAGUUAUU
rnacentral:pre_miRNA from 1 species